AAAUAUAGGAGAUGAAAGUUGUUGGGAUGAGAAACCUUUCAUGUAUGGAACUAAACUUGAUGGUGAGUAAACUGAAGUCGAACCUCUUUGAGAAAGAAAUUAUGGACAAGGAUAAAAUGAUGUAUGAUAGCAUUUGAGCAAAAAAUGAAACUAGUAGGAAAAACUAUAUUAAUGCAUAUAUAAUCAUAGGCAAGUUUUAUACUCAAAACCAUCCCCAACCCAAAUCUGCAUAAGGUCUUUUAUGUUUCCUCCAUACCCGCCUCAUCACCCCCUUAUUAGCCCUCA
rnacentral:misc_RNA from 1 species